GUUGGACGAGGCUGUUGCCAUCCCAUCUCAGUCACAGGAGGAUGCAGUGGUGACAUUCACUACCGUGACCCACAAGGAUGAAACUUCCCAGACCAGCCUCACCCUCAGCAGGGGAAAGAGAAGCUACCCAGACCUACACACCUUUGUGCAGGACAUGAAGGACGACCAUUGGAAUCUGCUGAGUGAGAAUAUGCGUGCCGGGAUGAGCAGACAUGAGUUUAGUGCCAAGUGCAUGGAUAUUGUAGCAUGGGUGAUGGAGUCUACAUCCACUGUGGUUGUUCCCGCCCUUGACCUCACCAUGCAGAUAGAGCUCUCUGAUUCGCCAAGCUCUUCUGGAUCAGGA